rnacentral:ncRNA from 1 species
UUAAAGUUUUAUUUUAGCUUAAAAAUUUAUUAUUAGAUUAUUUUAUAUGUAAGUUUUUGUGUGAAUUAAUAUAUUUUUUAAUAAAAAUUAUUAUUAAUUUUAUUCGCAGUAAUUAAUAUUAUUAAUUAAAGAAAUUUAGAAAUAGUAAUUUUAUUUAGUAUUGGUUAAAUUUAUGCCAGCAUCCGCGGUUAUAUAAAUAAUAUAAAUAAAUUUAUUUUGAUAAUAGUUAAAUUUUUUAAUUUUAUUGAUUAAUGAAUUUAUUAAGUGAAAUUUUAAAUUUAUUAAUAAUAUUAAAUUAUUUAAUUGAAGCUAGUAAAUUUUUAUAUUAAACUAGGAUUAGAUACCCUAUUAUUAAAAAUUUAAAUUAAAUUAUCAAGGUAGUAUUAGUUAUGAUCUUGAAACUUAAAAAAUUUGGCGGUAUUUUAGUCUAUUCAGAGGAACUUGUUUUAUAAUCGAUAAUCCACGUUGGACCUUACUUAAAUUUGUAUUCAGUUUAUAUACCGUCGUUAUAAGAAUAUUUUAAAAGAAUAAUAAUUUUCUUGAAUUUUUAUUAAAUUUAUAUCAGAUCAAGGUGUAGCUAAUGUUUAAGUAAAAAUGAGUUACAGUUUAUUUAUAAUUGAAUUUAAUUAUGAAAAAAUUAAUGAAAUUGGAUUUGAAUGUAAAAUUAUAAAGAUAAAUAAUUUGAUUUUAGCUCUAAAAUAUGCACAUAUCGCCCGUCGCUCUUAUUAUUAAAAUAAGAUAAGUCGUAACAUAGUAGAUGUACUGGAAAGUGUAUCUAGAAUGCA